CGCCGCGGGAGCGCUCCCCUGCCCACCCCGCCCCCGCGGCCGAGCCCGGGAGUCGAGUGGGAGUCGGCCGGCCGGCGCGGGCAGCGCCGGGACCCCACAGGGGACACUGCAGCCGGAGCCCGGGAGGGGCCGCGCCGCCACCGUCUGAACUAGGAUGUCCCGACAUGAAGGAUGAAUUGAAGCAGGAAGGCAGAGCAGCCACUCGUCUGAGCUCAGCUAGGAAUGUGCCGAUUGGUAACUCAGAUGUGCACAAGUGACUGUGAAAGCACUGCAAGUAUUGCUGUGUACGUACGCAUGCUUAUAUAUAUACACACGAAGCAGGGAGAAUUAUUCCAAGGUGUUAGAUGUCAGGAUAGUAACUUGGGGUGGUUGCUAGAGGGAGCAUGAGGGAGACUUGUUCUGUUUCUUGAUCUGGGUGUGGGUUACACAGGUUAUGUUCACUCUGUGAAAACCAAGCUGUGUGUUUAUGAUUUGUGUAAUUUCUGAAUGGUGUUUCACUUCAGUAAACAGCGUAAAACAAACAAUACUCUGGCCCCAGGAUCUGGGUGAUGACCACUCAGUGUGCAUGCCUCUUGAGUGUUAGCACUCCGGUGUGGACAAGCUGUCCUCAGCUACAGCAUGGCUGUCAUUCUGGGGUUCCCACUUAACCGCCUUCCUGGUGAUUUUAGUUGCUUCUCUCUUAUUUCAGAUCUCCUGUUUUCCUAGAUUCGAUUUCCCCCAUUAUUUCCUCCUCUUACUCUUCAUUGUUUCUGAAGAAGGGUUCACUGGGAACAAUUAUUUUUAAAACUUAGCAAAUUUGAAGAUACUGUUGACACUAUCGUUAACACCUCAUACUUGAAUGACAACUUUCCAAAGUAUGUAAUUUUAAUGUGGAAGUUCUUUUCCUUUGGAAGUUUGAUGACAUUAGUGCAUUACCUUUUACAGUCCAAUGUCCCUGUUGCACAUAUCUGAUUCUUGAUCGUGUGUGACCUCUAGGCCCUCCUUCCGCAUUAGCGUUUUUGUUUUGUUCAGCUAAAUACUCAGGAGUGGAAUUGCUGAAUUGUAUGAUAGUUCUAAUUUUAAUUUUUUGAGGAAUUUCCGUACUGUUUUCCAUAGUGGCUGCACCGAUUUACAUUCUUACCAACAACAUAUGAGGAUUCACUUUUCUCCCUAUCCUCACCAGCACUUAUUAUUUGCUGUGUUAUUUUUUCUCUUUUAAUAAUACUCAUAGUGACAGGUUUGAGGUGAUCUCAUUAUGGUUUCGGAGAAGGCAGUGGCACCCCACUCCAGUACUCUUGC
ensembl:lncRNA